UGAGCGACCUUGGUGAGUGGUAAGACUGCUGAUUCUUCCUUUCCUUGACCUCCUGAAAGGGCACUAUCCUCCCAAGGAAGCCCCUCAUCUCAGAAGAGACCUCGUGGCUGGAGAUCCCCAUAAAUGCACCAAGUGAAAUAUGUCAAGUAGAUGAUGAUGGCAGUGAUGGUGGGUGAUGGUAAUAAUGAUGGUGAUGAUGAUGCCAAAGAAUUGACUUUGUAAAGGAAUCCUGGAGUCGAUAGUGAGGCUGGAUCCUGCCCGCAGCACUCCCCCUUCCAAGAAAUGCUCAAGCAAAAGAGUCAUUGAUAUCCAGUGGGAAGACAGAAGUCAAGAUGAUUGGCGAUGGUCCAGGAUACAGCAAAUAACCUUGGUGUCUAGUGGAUACCGUCAGACAUCUUUAGAAGCUUCCUAAAUCUGUGUCUGUCCUGGGUUUGUUCUUGGUACAUCGCCAGAACCAAAGCAUGUU
rnacentral:lncRNA from 1 species